GUCAUUUCGUCGAGAAGGCACAAGAAUCGUUGGCGGGAGCUUAUGGUGCUUUGGAUCCGUUAGCUCUUCCCAAACCUUUUCAAGCUCUAUUGUAAUCUUAUUUUUAUUUCAUUUUGUCUUGGUUGCUCUUCUUUGGUUUUCUCUUUGUAUUACCUAAACUCAUUUUAUAUGAUAUUUACAAGUUUAGCAAAA
rnacentral:sRNA from 1 species